rnacentral:tRNA from 1 species
CCUGGCAGCUCAGAUGGUAAAGCAUCUGCCUACAAUGCAGGCAGACCCAGGUUCGAUCCCUGGGUCAGGA